rnacentral:rRNA from 1 species
AUACGGAGGGUGCAAGCGUUACUCGGAAUCACUGGGCGUAAAGCGCGCGCAGGCGGCUAUUUAAGUUGGAUGUGAAAGCCUACGGCUCAACCGUAGAACUGCAUCCAAAACUAUUUAGCUAGAGUGUGGGAGAGGAAGAUGGAAUUAGUUGUGUAGGGGUAAAAUCCGUAGAGAUAACUAGGAAUACCAAAAGCGAAGGCAAUCUUCUGGAACACUACUGACGCCGAGGCGCGAAAGCGUGGGGAGCAAACGGGAUUAGAAACCCCUGUAGUCC